UGCAGAAACAUCCACCAGAGUGAAAGAGUCCUUCUGACUCCUUACUGCUUAAUAUUCCAGACUCGUGCCAUCUCCCUGCACUGGAAGUUUCAAAAGUCACCUAAUAAUUAAGAUUAGAAUUUGCCUUCAUUAGCUUCCAUACAGAUUAUUAUUAUCUGGUGAUAAUUCCAUUCCUGAGCUAGUUCUGAAUGCUUUCUGGAUUCCAGUGAGCCAAAUAGAGCUGAUGUAAGGGUAUGGUUAUUUACAGAACCCCUCCUCAGUGCCAGGGAUGGUGCAUUAAGCUGUGCUCUCCCAAUACCUGGGAGCAGACUUUACUCUUCCUGCUCCACAAUUUCAUGUUUGAUCAAUUUAUGGAACUUAGAGCUGGGAACUAUCUCCAGGAACAAAACCAAAGGCUGGAUUGCAGGUGUAGAUAAAAGAUGGCUGCUUUGUUAUAAUGAUAACAGCAGCGAUCCAAAUAAACGCAUGCCUAGCAAGGGUUAAAUGAUCACUCAGUCAUUCAUCACUACUAACCUGUAAUGGCCUGAGCAGGCAUUACUUUCCACAGUGGAUGAGAGAGCACGAUGGUUUUAAUCUAUGAAUCCCCUUUUGCUUUUAUGUGCCUGAAGAACAGAUCCUCUCAGUAAGGAGCAUUCUGAACUAUUUAUUGUCUAAAGCAAUCUUUUUGUUUCUGCUUACAGACAGAGCGUGUGGCUCUCUGGGUUCCCUGUUUCUUGGAGCUACAGAUGAAUAGUUAUUGCAGUGUGUUGCCAAACUGUGACAGCCAGCCGUCACCAGCCAUGAAGUACUUCAGAGACAAUCCAAAUGUUCUCUCCGAACGUCAUCAUGGAAGAAGCAGCAUUUUGUGGGUAAGCCUUACUUCCACUGCUUGUUUAUACAAAUGCUGCAUUCUGGGUUGGUCACUGCUAGCCUGUGGAGACCAGGUAAGGCAGAAAAAAAUAGAAGCUGAACAAUGACAGGAUGUUCUGAUUCCUCUUCUGAUGGGAGCAGAAAGGAAAAGACAGGACCAGACAUUAAACGAGAUGGUUUCUAUCCUGAACAGAAGAAGCUUAUGUGUUCACAGAGACAGAAGCUCUUCUGUCUGUGUUGGAGUUUAACUGGCAGAGCUCUGUAAUGUGGAAGGAUUGUGCAGCCUGACCCUUAUCAAGUGCGGGUAGGCAGUGGGGGUAGCAUGCAGGGUAGUCACUACUGGAGAAGUGAGGUGUGGUAUAGCCCAGUGCAGUGAAUUCCUGGAGAGAAAGGAAGGUGUAGUGAGCUGUAAAGGGAGGUGAGGGGACAGAGCAAGGAUGGCAGAGGAGCAGGAUAAACUGUGUAAGUGGCAUUGCUUUAACCUUCCUCUCUAAAGCAUGAUGAGUCCAAAUGCCCUGAUAAGGGGGCAUGUGAGUGGAAAUCUUUAUGAAUGGGACAGCCGUAGGACAGUGGAGGAAAAGCCACAUGUCCCCCACUCAGUGCCUGUCACCUGUCCUCCCCACAAUGAGGACCUAUGCAAAGUGGAACAGGGCCUGAUGUGCUGACGUGCCAUUGAUCUGGAAAUGGCUGUGUCUGGGAAAGUCAGAGCAAAGGUUCAUAACUGAAUCCAGCAGGUGCAGGGACCCAGCUUGGGAGCUGAUUGGUAUUCAGCUCUGGUGCAAAGUGCUUAAGAAAAAACUUAUUAAUUUCCCCUUCCACAAAGAGCGGGAGUGCGACAGUAAUCACAGUAUCAAGUC
rnacentral:lncRNA from 1 species